AGGCUGCAGGACCGUGAAGUGGUGAGUUGCGGAUUGCUUUACGACAUUUGGUGAUUACUUGAUCACAUCUUUGCACAUAUGAACCUAGUGAUGCUGCAUCUAAUGUACGUAGCACCGGAAAGCCUCACAACACCGCAAGGAUGUGGUAUGAGCAACGGAAUUUGGUGCUGUUUUCUUACGAGCUAGACCUUCUAGAAUGAGUAGGUUCAACCUCGAGAGAGACUGACAUAAUUACCUUCAAAACAUCAGGUGAGAUUACAUUUGGGCCACGGGAUGAGAACUUAGCCGCAAUAGGAGCCGGAAUCCCCAGAUAUUGGAGAGAGAGUGUCAUUGUUGCAACUGGACUUCUGCUCCACAAUAAUAAUUACACAGAAUAUGACUGCCAACUCCUUGGCUUACGACCGUCACUGCUGGGUGGCGAAAGACCUGUGCAUAAGACUUCAGUUCAUCGUCUACCAUGAUGGUGGCAACCCCGCCCUUGUCAUAGACCUCUACUUCUGGAUAGUUGAUUCCCAACAUGUCUCCAGGUACACAAACAACAAUAUUGCCUUUCACCUUCUUUGCGUCCAAUGAAUCUGGGCCGCACAUCCUGAAACCAUUCAUAUGUUAACUUAAA